GAGCCAUUAGCUCAGGCGGUAGAGCAACUGACUUUUAAUCAGUGGGUCGAAGGUUCGAGUCCUUCAUGGCUCA
rnacentral:tRNA from 1 species